AUGAGGGAGUUGGGAAGAUUUCUACUGGCUGCCAAGUCCCUGGACAGAAAAGUGCAAUCCCUUCAAGAUGUUUUGGUUCCACCAAAGUUUUCCUUAGCGGUAGCAGCAGCCAAAAAAGCGUCUGGUUUCACCAACUCGGCGCAUAGACACAGCACACCAUCUCUUGCUUUAAAAUUGGGGCACUCACUGAAGGCAGCAUGUGACAUUGUUAUAGGACAACAUAUAAAGGCUGAAGAUGAAUUGGCUGCCAACCGAGUAAGGAACUUCUUGGGCUUAGUUGCUGCAGAGUGGGACCUGUAUGUGUCACGCCAUGCAAGAACAAACCUAGAAGAAGAAAGAUGGAACAAAAAAGACAUGAUUCCACUCACAGAGGAUGUCAUGAAGCUUCAGAAAGUGUUGAAGUCCACAGAGGAGGAGGCAAAGGACAAGCUCCUGAAUGGACCAAACCCAACAGCUUACGAGACGCUCAGCGAGUGCCUUCUUGCCCAAAUCAUCCUGUUCAACAGAAGACGCCAAGGUGAGGCGGCAAAAAUGCCUCUGGUGACAUACAGAGACAGAGCCGCUGAGCAACCAAAUGAAGACAUCAUGAAGUGCCUCUCAAGGCUAGAAAAGGAUUUGAGUCAUGAGUUUACCCGGUUAGUGGUCAGAGGAAAGAGAGGACGUAAAGUGCCGGUGCUUCUUACAAAAGGGAUGACUUCCUCACUUGACUUCCUCAUUGAAAACAGGGGUGUGGAGAGGGACAUUUUGGAAAGUUAUGAGUAUGUUUUUGCAAGACAGAAUACCGAUUCCCAUAUUCGAGGUUCAGACUGUUUGAGGAAAUAUGCAGCUCUAAGUGGAGCAAAGAGACCUGAAACACUCACCUCGACCCAACUGAGGAAACACGUGGCUACACUGAGCCAGAUUAUGAAUCUCAAAGACAAUGAAUCGGACCAGCUUGCUAAAUACAUGGGACAUGAUAUUCGCGUUCAUCGCGAAUAUUAUCGGCUCACAGAGAAUACGCUACAGCUUGCUAAAAUGAGCAAGCUGCUCAUGGCUAUUGAACUUGGAACUGAUGUCUACAGAGGCAAAUCUCUUGAUGAGCUUGAUUUAGACUUAGAAAUGGCUUUGUCUGCCAAAGAUGGAUCAAUACAAGAAUCCCAGGUCACGCAAAGCAAUGACAGUGGGGAAACUUUAGAGCUUCCUGAAGACAUGGAUGAACCAGAUAGAAAGCCAUCAGAGGAAAAAAGAGGAGAGACAGGGUCCUCCAAGAGAAAAAGGACGAAGGAGCGUUCUCGGCCUUCUCCAUGUUCAGAUGAAGAGCCACAAAGCCCCUCCUUUUCCCAACCAUUUAAAGUCCAGAAGAGAGGAGAGUCAGAUAUGGAUCUUCCAAAAGGCAUCCGUCGCAGGCCUUGGAGUAAACGGGAGAAAGAAGCUGUAUGGAGGCAGUUGGGGAAGUAUAUCACACUUCUACGAGUUCCUGGGAAAGAGGAGUGCAUGAAUGCAUUACAAGCUGAACGUGCGCUGAAAAGGCGCACAUGGACAGAUGUAAAAAAUUAAGUGUACAAUACAAUCACUUCCCAAAAGAGGAAGAAUUUAUAAGCAAUUCAUUCAUUUGAUGAAGUUUGGUCAUGUGAAUUUCAUAUUCAUUUAUGGCAGUGGUCUUAUUUGUGCUAGCGGUUUUACUUUCUGAAAUGAUUUCAGUCACUUUUUUAUUAUUAUAUAUUAUAUAUAUUAUCGCUAAAUUUAUGGGUAAUUUUCACUGCAGCAAGUGUUGAGGUGUUCAAAAUGCACAAAGAUGUGCAGAAAUCCUGCCAAGUGAUUUUCACUGCAGCAAGAAGUGUUGGUGUUCAAAAUGCACAAAGAUGUGCAUAAAUCCUGUCAAGUAAUUUUCACUGCAGCAAGAAGUGUUGGUGUUCAAAAUGCACAAAGAUGUGCAUAAAUCCUGCCAAGUAAUGUUUAACUGCAGCAAAAAGUGUCAGAAUGCAUGCAGAAAUUGUAAAACUGUUUACAAUAAAGUAAUUUGUUUAAUAUGAGUUUGAGUUUCAUAAUGUAUUAAGACAUUUCUCUAAAGGCGGGUACACACUACAGGAUUUGUCAAACCUUCACAGAUUAGGAGACCACACACUUGAUGAUAACAAAAGACAGAUCGCACAAGAUCUCUCUCUGCUGAUCUUAUAGUGUGUGGUGUUCUCCGUAGUGCACACCACACACUAACCGAUUCUUCAGCAGAGUAUCAGGUUCUUAACGCGCAAUAUUGCAAAUCUCGCGUGGUCAAACGUGACUUCAGUGUAAACAAACAUGGCGGAUGAACCGGUAGAUACAGUGGUGGUUGUUUUAGGCCUAUUACUGGCUGAAAAAGUCAUGGAGACGGCGAGAGUGUGG
rnacentral:lncRNA from 1 species